rnacentral:rRNA from 1 species
GGAAACCCAGUGACGGUGUAAACAAUGGACCGUCAGACCUGCGAUAAAUUGUCGCUUGAUCUGUCAACAAAAACACAGAGAAUCUGAGUUUGAAUUUUAAAACCCCAGUUUUGUAAUCCUAUAAAUACCAAGUGUUAGGUUUUUCUCAUAACUCUUGUCUUCAGUUUCAUACUUUCUCCUCUACUGAGAGCUUUGUACUACUUUUCAUUGAGAUUUGAAUAUAGAGAUUGAGAGUUGAUUAUUAUUUUUCAUAUUCUUGAUCAAAGAUUUAUAAGAACAAUAUUGCAACUUUUGUAAGUACUCAUCUGAAGUUAUUUAUGAAUAGUUAAUAGAACUUUGAUUUCUUAUAUGGAGAGGAGCAGUUAAACUCCCAUAACUAGGGUUAUGGUAGCCUUGAUGUAGAGAACUCUUUUGGGGUUAUGAAUGGGUUUGAUUGCUAACAUCUAUCGAAAUUUCAUGAAUCUUUAUUUUUCUUAGUGACAUCUCUUGGUUGCAAACUUAAGAAGUGAGCCCUUGAACUCCACUUGUCUGACAAAAAAGUGGAUAUUAGGAAAAGAAGUGAUUCACAUGAACUCCAUAGGUUUACCCUAUGGGUUAAUAGGUUGAUGCCUUAACAGGAUCAACCCUCAUGAGAUUGUUAUUGAAUAAUGCAUGAAUCCUUUUAGUUUAAUACAAGUAAAGGGUGAAAAACACAUUAGGUUUAGAAACGCAUGGGUAAUCCUUAGAAUUCAAUAAUUCUUACGGUCGGAUACAUAAGUUAAAAUUCAAACAAGAAGUCACCACACUAAUUGUUUGAACAUCCUGGUGAGCAUAACACUAGUUAAUUCAUUCUCCUUUAAAUUACAUCUACAUUUACUCUCAGUAGCUGGACUUUUGUAGGACACAAAUAUAAACGAGCACCAUUAAUAUUUCCAAGCUCCCUUUAUUUUGAAACCUCAGAUCAAUAGUCUAAUAAUAAUAACAUCAUUCAGUGAACACUGUAUUCGCUGUGGAAUUUGACACCCAACCCAAUUGUGUUCUAUAUUUGAUAGGGACCGUUUACUCUCUCAUAAGAAUGGUAUAAUUUGGGGGUAUCAAACAACCUCUGGUCGAUGGAACAAUGUAGACAAGAAAAGUUGGCAAAACAGAUUCGUAACUUCGAUAAAAGGAUUACCUAUGAGGGAUGGGAAUGGGGGUCCCAGACCUGAGCUUGUAGGCUAUCGGUGGACUACUCGAGUGGCUCCUGCAAUAGAAGUGCAUCGCCACAUGUCUAUCGGGGGACGAACGGGGAACGAUUUCUUCUAGGGCCUUCCCCACGUAUCGAAUAGCCAACUCAAAACUCGUACAUACAAGGGGAAUUUGACUUUUUAAGUAAAACGAAGCUUUGAAAUAGUCCUAAUAGAUGUUCACACAAUGUAACUUCUGCCCAGUACUCUAAAUGUCAAAGUCAAGAAAUUCAACCAAGUGCUGGUAAAUGGUGAGAGUAACUAUGACUAUCUUAAGGUAGUCAAAUCCCUCGUCAUAUAAUUAGUGAUUGGCAUGAAUGGAUUAAAGAUAUUCCCACUAUCCUUGUGUACUAUCCAGUGAAACUACAGCCAAAGGAAUGGGUAUGGUAGAAUCAGCAGGGAAAGAAGACCUUGUUGAGCUUAACUCUACUCACAGUUUGUGAAAUGUCUUCAGAGGUGUAGUAUAAGUGGUAUGCAAAAUGCAAAAGUGAAUUAGCAUUACUUUUGAAGUUAUUUUGCAUAUUUCAUGAAUCGAAAGUAGGGCACUAACCCUCUUUUUGGACUUAAGUCUCACUUUGCAGGCCUAUCUGGGCAGAAAACAUUGUUAGGUGGGGAGUUUAGAUGGGGCGGAACGUCUGUGAAAACAUAACAUUGGUGUCCUAAGAAGAGAUCAAAGAGAACAAAAAUCUCAUGUGAAACAGAAGGGUAAAAACUCAUUUGAUCCUAAUUUCCAGUAUGAAUACAAACCAUGAAUGUGUGGCCUAAUGAUCCUUUAGACCUUGCAAUUUCAAGCUAGUGAUGUCAGAAACUUUACCACAUGGAUAACUGGCUUAUGGUAGCCAAGCGUUCAUAUAGAUUUUGUAAUUUAAUCUUUCGAUAUCAGCUCUUCCUAUCAUUAUGAAGCAGAAUUCACAAACUAUUGGAUUGUUCACCCACCAUUAGGGAACGUGAAAUGGGUUUAUACAUUCAUGAGACAAGUUAGUUUUACUCUACCAAUGACAGCAUCGCAAUAGUAAUUCAACCUAGUAUGAGGGAAACCAUUGAUUCACAUAAUUGUUCAUCACGCUUGAUUAAAAAGCCAGUGGAGAAAAGGUAUCAUGUGAUGGAUAAUGACUGAAUGCCACUAAGUUAAAAUUUGUGCUAAAAAUGAUGCAUGUUCCUGCCAUUCCACAAUUGGUUCCUCGGCCCUCAAGGUCACAUGUCGUUGUCUAAAUACGCCACAAACUAUUGCGGUAGCUUCCUUGAAGUACACUUUUUAUUGAGAGGCAGGUAGAAUCCUUUAUAAAUGACUUAAAUAUGCGAAGGGGUAUUGUAAGUGCUAGAGUGGACUUCCUACCUUGAUCCACUGAUAUUCAUCACUUUAUCACUUAUGUUAAUCCCUCACCUUCCA